rnacentral:lncRNA from 1 species
UGGGGAUCAAUUUUGAUUUUGUGGUGCUUAAGGUUGAGUCCACUUCAAUUUGCAUUGCACCAUGGGACCAAUUUGGUGAGACCAAAUUAGGAUCUCUUUAGUAGACCCAAUUUAAUUAUGGAUUUACAUAGGAUGUAGUAAACAAUUAAACCUAAGAGACCUAAAUUAAAAACUUCCUCAAUAAUAUUAAGUCGAGGGGUCUUCUACCGUUGUAGAGUGCCGUGCCCUC